rnacentral:tRNA from 1 species
AUCCAUGAUGGCCGAGACACCAGGCAUCGAGCUUUUAACUCGAUCACAGUUACUAAUAACUUCAGGAUA